rnacentral:rRNA from 1 species
UGAGUAACACGUGGGCAAUCUGCCCUGCACUCUGGGACAAGCCCUGGAAACGGGGUCUAAUACCGGAUACAACCACUGACCGCAUGGUCGGGUGGUGGAAAGCUCCGGCGGUGCAGGAUGAGCCCGCGGCCUAUCAGCUUGUUGGUGAGGUAACGGCUCACCAAGGCGACGACGGGUAGCCGGCCUGAGAGGGCGACCGGCCACACUGGGACUGAGACACGGCCCAGACUCCUACGGGAGGCAGCAGUGGGGAAUAUUGCACAAUGGGCGCAAGCCUGAUGCAGCGACGCCGCGUGAGGGAUGACGGCCUUCGGGUUGUAAACCUCUUUCAGCAGGGAAGAAGCGCAAGUGACGGUACCUGCAGAAGAAGCGCCGGCUAACUACGUGCCAGCAGCCGCGGUAAUACGUAGGGCGCAAGCGUUGUCCGGAAUUAUUG